ensembl:lncRNA
CGACUGGAAAAAUUUGCAAGCCCUGUGUUACAGGCAUGGCCCUUUAAGGAUGAAGCCUGAUGGGAAAUGUAUUCGGGAUGUGUGUAGCGGGACUGCCUGGUGUGUGUGUGAAGAGAGAGAGCGGAGAUGGGGAAAAAGUAACGGUUAGCUACAGAAGAGACGACAAGAAAAUAAAUAAAAGGAAUAUAAUAACUCCCUCGACAGCCAGAGUUGUGUCGGCGAUGCUCGCUAGACAUUUUGUCCCAAUCUUCUUUAGAUCACCUCACAUUUGACUCCAGAACAGUCUGGCUCACAGAGGAAUUGAUGGCUGACUCAGUGCCUGCAAGAUGCUCAGGUUCCUGUGGCUGCAAAACAAGCUCAAAUCAUCACCCCUCCACUAAAUACGCUUGACAGCUGGGCCUUGAAAAAGUCCUGUGUCAGUAUUUUUCUCCACUGUUCCCCAAGGUCAGGAGUGGGUGCCUUUCUUGGAUGUGGUAGGCAUUUCUUAGGCUCCUUCUCCAGAAUUGAACCCUAAAUCUGUGUUACCCACAAUCACCAUGGUACGCACAAGAUGUUCCAUCGAAAGCUAAUGGGGUGGACAUUCGAAUAAGAUGUCCCUGGAGGGAUUCCUUAGAUAGGUUUUGGUCAUAGAUACCUGCAGGUCAGUCCUUAUAUGCAUGUUAGCUCCAGAAUUGUUAUCCAAAUAACCAAGGAGUGAUCAAAGGAACCAUAACUGAUUUAAUGAGCCAUUCGCAGUUUCACUGAGGCAGUUGCAUGUACUUACACCAGCAUGGAUUAAUCUGAGAUAAGCAUAUACUACUGACAGGAUCAAUUAGGAAACCUCUUGGCUAUCUUGGUCUGGCUGGGGAAAAAACAGCUCAGGCUGUGGUCUCUCCAGACUUCCUCCCCAAAACAUGCAUGUGGGUUAAAUAGCAAUUGUAAAAUGGGUUCGGCGGGUUCAGGUUCCCUGAAUUGUGGAAGAAUAGUGAUGGGCUGAUGGAUAGAUUCUCCAUCCUGGAUGGAUUUAAUUAGACUGUGAAGCCUUGUAGCAGUGUUUUUUUUAAGUAAA